AUUGAACGCUGGCGGCAUGCUUUACACAUGCAAGUCGGACGGCAGCGCGGGCUUCGGCCUGGCGGCGAGUGGCGAACGGGUGAGUAAUACAUCGGAACGUGCCCAGUAGUGGGGGAUAGCUCGGCGAAAGCCGGAUUAAUACCGCAUACGACCUGAGGGUGAAAGCGGGGGACUUUAGGGCCUCGCGCUAUUGAAGCGGCCGAUGGCAGAUUAGCUAGUUGGUGGGGUAAAGGCCUACCAAGGCGACGAUCUGUAGCUGGUCUGAGAGGACGACCAGCCACACUGGGACUGAGACACGGCCCAGACUCCUACGGGAGGCAGCAGUGGGGAAUUUUGGACAAUGGGCGCAAGCCUGAUCCAGCAAUGCCGCGUGUGUGAUGAAGGCCUUCGGGUUGUAAAGCACUUUUGGCAGGAACGAAAAGUGCCGUGCUAAUACCACGGUACGAUGACGGUACCUGCAGAAUAAGCACCGGCUAACUACGUG
rnacentral:rRNA from 1 species